GUCUGGGCCAUUCUACUUCAUCAGUGGGCAAAAUGGUAAUUGUGACAAGGGCCAGAAACUCUUCAUAGUUGUCUUGGCUGUUAGGCAUCACAACAAACCAAACCCUCCUGUUGCUCCCACAACUCCCCCUAGCACCAGCCCUACCUCCCCAUCCCCCAAAUCUCCAUCUCCUCAGUACCCUCAUCACCCUCCUGGGACCUCACCAUCACCAGCAUCAGUGGCUAACCCUCCAGCCACCUCACCAUCACCAGUAGUGGCUAGCCCUCCUGCCACCUCCCCAUCACCAGUGGGCUACCCUCCUGCCACCUCCCCAUCGCCAGUGGGCUACCCUCCUGCCACCUCACCAUCACCAGUGGGCUACCCUCCUGCCACCUCACCAUCACCAGUGGGAUACACUCCUGCCACCUCACCAUCCCCAUCAACAACAACAUCUCCAGCGCUAGCGCCAGGUCCAUCUUCAUCCCUUACACCAUUUCCUUCUCCACCCUCACCGCCCCCCGAGGGGCCCACACCGCCCUCCGAGGGGCCCACACCGGCCCCGUCCGCAGAGUCUGCGGGCCCCACACCACCGGGAACCGUUUCUCCGCCGCCCGGGACAGCGGACUCGACGGCUCCGAGACCGGCGGGGAGUGGAGCGUCGCAUAGUGUAACGGCUCCUUCGAGCGUGCUGGUGUCU
rnacentral:lncRNA from 1 species